GGUACAUAAAUGUUAAAUACACCCCGAGUUCUCUUCACUCCCACACGGAGUCUACUUCCCGAUUCACCUAAUAUUCUGGCGUUUUGUGUCUUUUUACGUUCAAUGAAUACAAAUCAUUUACAAUACAAGUGUAAAUUAUUUAAAUUCUUAUUCACGUUGGUAUCAACAAUUGUAAUUAUAUUAAUUUUCAAUUUUCUAUGCUCACUACAACCGCUACUAAAGAGGUUUUGCGCAAGACAGGUAAGAGUAACUUAAAUUCAAAUCUUAAAAGUGUUACAAUUAGUAAACCCCCACAUAGACUAGAAAACAUAUUUCAAUAGUAGAAAGAUAGUUGGAAAGCUAUGCUAUAGCUAAUUACAAUUAUUGCAUUACUAGAGUCUGAAACUUUUUAUUAAAAAUACUAAAAAAAUAUAUUCAGUUGUCUCGUUUUUGGUCAGGGUUGAAAUUAAUUUUAAAUAUGACUUCUUGUUUUUAACAUUUAGUACUUUUUUUAUUGCCAUUUUAAACACGACGAUUUUCUCGAAUUUUAAAAAAAAAUAUUUAGGAUGUUGAUCGCACUAAAGCAAUAUAGACCGAGGAAACUAGCAGCCAUGUAAAGUAUUCGAAUAAAUUAAUUCAAAUGAAAAUAUUUAAAUAAUAUUUUUGUAUUCGAAUACUAUUUUGAAACUAUAAUUUUAUAUUUAUAAUCUAAAUCUUAAAUCGUAGAUUUUUAUAUAAUACAUUAUGAACACAUAGUGUUUAGUUUUUAUGUUUAAUCGAAAUUUAAGAACUGGCCUAUAAUAUGUACAUAAUAUCUGUUUAAUUACCUAUAUCUAUUAACCAGUAAUUAAUUAAUUUAGUAAAAUAUUGAGCCAUAAAACGUUAAUUUCAGAACUGUUGUUCUGAAACUGAAAUACAUUAGUUGAAAAAAAAUAUAUUUGAAGAGUAUUCAACUGGUUUCUGAAAUACUCUAAUAGAUAUUCCAAAUAUAAAGUAAAAAUAUUCUUUACAAUACUGGAAACUGGGCAUUUUACAUUUGCGUUGUGACUUAUUAAAAGGUUCAAACUAAAAAUAUGAUAUUCCAGCUUUACGUGAAUAUAUGUAUUUAUACAAAAAUUAAUAUCAUUACCAUCUCUAAGAAUAUUUACGUAUAAUAAUAAUAACAAUUAGUAUUAUAGUUAUAUAAAAAUACUUUGCUCCUUUCAAAUUAUUUUUUUUUUUUUGUAAUACUGAAAGCGCAAAGAAGAUUAUUAUUUACAUAAACAUGUGUCUAAUAAUUAAUUAUUGACUAUAUUCAACUAUAAUUUUUUUUUAUUUAUUAACACGUAAUAAAUCACUAUUAUUAUCCAAUUAUUGUCAUUGUAUUAUCAUAUUAAAUUUAAAAUGAUAUUUGAUUGUAUUAUUUGUAAUUGUAAAUUAUUUCCGUUAAAUAAUAAUAUGAAUAAUAUUAAUAAUAUUAGCAAAGUUUUUUUAAAAAAAAUCGUGUUAAAAAAACCAAAAGUCUGAGCAACGAAAAAAAUAACUAUAAACUUAUCAAAAUAUAAUAAAAAAAAACAUUGUUUUAAAAAAUAAAUACUUGGUUUGGGUUUUUUUUAAACCGUUUUAUUUGCAUCCCUGGUUUGGUGCAAUUUGAAUGAUAUUGAAUAUUACAUCAUAACAAUCAAUUAGCAUUUGUAUGGAUUUGAUUCGAGGUUGGUAUCCUGGGUUUUUGAAAAUUGAAUUUGACCAACAACUUCAUUUAUAUCGGUUUUUUUUUCAUAAGAUUAUUUUUUUUUAAUUCCAUUCACUUUUCACGGUCAUUUACGAUAGGUAGAAAUUAAAUCUAUUAUUCUCGUGUAUCAUAUCUACUUUAUCCUCUUAUUAUUAUUUUUAUUUGAUAUUUACAUAUAUUAUGCAAAUAUCGUAUUUCGACGUCAGAUUUAAGUAGUUUUUUAAUACGGUAGUAUUAAAAGUUUAAUGUUUUUGAGCAGUCGGUCGUUCGAUCUUGACGAUUCGCCACGUGAAUCGAUCCAGAGGACAACAAAAAUCCCUAUAUUGAACUGUCAGAAAAACAACUACACAGUAUGAAUCAACCUUUUUGGAAUCGCCGGACUUGCGUGAUUUUGACCGGUGAUAGUAAAGGUAUAGGACAGAGUUUGGCCGUGGAAAUCAGUAAAAUUCUGGUUCCAAAAUCGACCGUUGUUCUUAUUGCUCGAGAUACUGAUGGUUUUGACGAAACCUACGAAAUGGUGCACAAACAAAACAAAAACAUUUCGGUCGAGGUAAAUAAAAUAAAUCAUGCAAAUAUAUAGGAUUACAUAUAUUUAAAUUAAUUUAAGCAAAUGGCGCAUUUUUAAACUCUGCUUGUUAAAUAAAUUGUGGUGGAAGUACCAAUAACAACUUAAGAUUUUCGGGAAGUUUUUAAUUACUUAUAGUAUUUCUUUAUAGUUUAAAAAUAUAACAAAUCACUUCAUUACAAACACUAACCAAUAACCAUAUGCCUUAUUAUUACAAUUUAUAUAUUAACGCGCUUUUUUUUUUAAACAUACCAGUAUACAAUAUUAUUAUGUAUAAUAUUUUGUUACAUACCGAUAAACAAUAUACAGAAAAAGUACACCACUGCUAGUAUACAUUUUAUACCUAACUUUUAGAUCAGUUUUGUUUUUUCAGUGCUUUCAAGCUAAUUUGCAUAAUCCCAGUGUCUCGACUUUUGAAAACAUUUUGAACCCCGUCGACACUACGAAAUAUGAAUUAUUUUUACUAAUCCAUAAUGCUGAAUCAGUCGGUAAUUUGGAUCAUCUCGCAGCUGAUAUGAACGACAUUGAAGAAUGGAAUAAGUAAACACAACAAUAUUUGAUAGACUAAAACGUAUUAUGGAAUUGUGUUGUCGAUAUUAUGAAAUCAAUUGCCCUAUAACUGGAUUAAACGAAUUAUACGAUUUUUACCAAUAUUCGAUACACUUAAAAACUAAACAAAAACAAAUCUAAAUUUGUAUUUUAACAUUAAAUUAUAAAUUAAUUGUUCAAUAACAAUUUUCAUUGUGCAUAGGCAAAAUGCUGUUACAAACUAUCACGGCGUAUUCCAUUGAUAAUAAAUAAUAAUCAUUAACUCAUAGCAGUGCAUUCUAAAAAGAUUUAUUGAGUAUGUACACAAUGAAAUGUUAGGUAAAUGAUGCGAUAAUUAUCCGUUGAAUAGAGAUAUUCCUUAUUCGAAAAGAACGUGUAUUUUGUCUGUUAAAAUGUGUACUAAAUUUAUAGUAUCUUCGACUUUCGAUAAUUUUGAUAUUAGAUGUUAGUAGAUGAAGCGCGUUUGUCAUAAAAUAACUUUUUUAUAGUAAAUAAAUUAUCUAUUUAUUUUUGUUUAUAUAGAUAAUAAGUACAUUCCUGUUUUAUAAUAAAUUAUUGUUAGUUAGUAUUAUGUACUAUAUUGGUUUUAUCACAGUUUGUACAAUAUUUUUUUUUCUAUAGGAGUAUACACCCAAUUCACCAAUUUUGUUUUAUUAUUUUAGUUUUGAACAUUAACUAUUUAAUCAUUUUUUUUUUUUUUUUUUAGGUACAUGACAUUUAACUUGUAUUCUGUGGCCUGUUUAACGAAUGUGUUUUUAUCCAAAUUUAAUUCUAAUACAGCCGAAAAGUGUAUUGUCAAUAUGACCUCGUUGCAUGCAGUUGAACCGUUUAAAUCGGUCGGUUAUUAUAGUGUUGGAAAAGCCAGUCGAGAAAUGUAUUUCCGUGUUCUAGCCAUAGAAAAUCCUACUUUAAAUAUUCUUAGUUAUUCUCCAGGUAAAAUAUAUUGUCUGGGAAUUUAUUGUUUUUCAAUUAAACUAAAACGUUUGGGUUUUUAUAGGUCCAGUGUUGACAGAUAUGUAUACAAAUCUUAGUUCGAAUGCAACAAACGAAUUAAUACGUGAACAAUUAACCACUAAACAACAAGAUCAAUAUACGCGUAUUGUAAAAAUUGAAAAUAUUUGUCAAAAGCUAUUUCACACAUUAGCUAUGAAAAGCUAUACAAAUGGUGGUAGAAUCGAUUUUCAUGAUGAAUAAUGGAAUUGCUUCUCUUUUAAAUAUUUUUAAUGUCGCCUACUUGUAACAUUGAUUGUUCAUUAUUGUUGUUGGCAUAAUAUUGUAUUCUGUUUUUAUCACGCUUAUCUAUUAAUUUGUCGGCAAAAGAAAAUUCUUUCCAAACUUGUGAUUGAUUUUCGAUCCAUUUCCCAAAGUUGAUAGACUUAAAAUGUUACAUAACUCCACAUUUUUGAUGGCCAGUAUAAAUAUCAAAAAUCAGAUUUUCUGUUUUCAUCAACUUUAUUCCUUUUCACCCCAUUUGACUUUCGGGAGAAAAUAUUAAAAUAUUAAUAAAUUCUUCAUACCUAUGACUUAUUUAAAUAUCCUGUUUUUUAUACUAUAAAUAAUCUGUGUUCGGAUUUUAUCCUAUAGGGGGUGAAAAACAGAUUUAAAAAAAAUUCAAAUCCAUACUUAUAAAACAAUAAUAAUAAUGGAAAUUCUGAAUAAAAAUAUAUUUAUAAAAGCACCAACUCGUUGUUUGAUUAUCGCAAAUUAAUGCAUACGAGAUGAUUCACGUCUUGAAAUAGUGUAUUGAAAAUGUCAUCAAGUAUGUAAAAAGUGCCCGAUGCUUAAAUGUAUGUUAUUGUUGUAUUUUAUUUCCAUUUUCCAUUAUAAUUAACAUAUUAUUAUAUUAUAUUAUAUUAUAUUAUUAUACACAAAUUAAAAAAGUUUCUGUUGCUCAUGGGUAGGCUAUUAUUGCAGGUGGGUAGUUCAAAAGAAUAAUUCGGUUUAUAUGCAACGAUGAACCAUUGCAAAUUAAAAAACUGAGCAAAGUAUUAUUUGUAUAUAUUUCCUCCCUUAAAGCCAAGGUAACCCAGAAAUCAACAAAAAUCAACUAACAAAAAAAAGAUUUUUAGGAGGUGGACUGUUGUAAAUUUCGAUGUAUGUUUUAAAUAAAAUACCCAUGUGAAGAAAUGUCUUUUGUUUGAUUAACUGUUAACUUAAAAAAAUAUAUAAGUGUAGCAAAACCGUCAGCAGUAUCGGCUCUUUUUUAUUUAGAGUUAUUUUCAAAAUAUUCAUAUAUUUGUGUAAUAAAUUGUAUCAUUUCAAAAUAAUUGUGAACCCUUGAAUAUAUUUAAAUGAUUUAUUUAUAAGAAAUUGUUGUUAAUACGUGAAAAAUUAUCAUCUGGAGUUAUUAAAAUAUUAUGAAUAUAGACAAUAAUUGUAUUAUUAUUAUAAUUCAAAUACAGAAUAUUUUUAUAUUAGCUAUUGCACAGACACUGGCAGAAUAAAUAUGUAUUAAUUAUACUUGCAUUCCAAAUGACUUACUUAACUUAAAGGAAAUGCAUCCUGAUAAAAUAACAGAAAUUUAUUUUACACUUAUAACAACUAUUAUAAUAAAAUCUUUACGAUAAUAUUUUAAUUUUAUUGGAUAGGUUUUAUGUUUUUAUUUAACUUCAUUAUUCUAUUGAACAAAAACUAAAGUCAAC
rnacentral:lncRNA from 1 species